GACCCCUUCAGUGGCCCAAGUGGUUAGAGCAUCCGCCUCUGAUGCGGGAGGUCUCGGAUUCGAAGCCCAGUCGAGUUA